GAUCCUGGCUCAGGAUGAACGCUAGCGGCAGGCUUAACACAUGCAAGUCGAGGGGCAGCGUGAAGGUUAGCAAUAACUCUUGAUGGCGACCGGCGCAAGGGUGCGUAACGCGUGAGCAACUUGCCCGUUUCAGGGGGAUAACCGGUGGAAACGCCGACUAAUACCCCAUAGUAUUGGUUUGAGGCAUCUCUUACCAAUUAAAGAAUUUCGGAAACGGAUAGGCUCGCGUGACAUUAGCUGGAUGGCGGGGUAACGGCCCACCAUGGCUACGAUGUCUAGGGGUUCUGAGAGGAAGGUCCCCCACACUGGAACUGAGACACGGUCCAGACUCCUACGGGAGGCAGCAGUGAGGAAUAUUGGUCAAUGGUCUGACGACUGAACCAGCCAUGCCGCGUGAAGGUCACGGCCCUAUGGGUCUUAAACUUCUUUUGUAAGGGAGCAAUAAGUCUCACGUGUGGGAUGAUGAGAGUACCUUACGAAUAAGCAUCGGCUAACUCCGUG
rnacentral:rRNA from 1 species